rnacentral:rRNA from 1 species
AACGUACGCUGGCGGCACGCCUAACACAUGCAAGUCGAACGAAGUAGCAAUACUUAGUGGCAGACGGGUGAGUAACAUGUAGGUAUCUGCCCUUUGGCCUGGAAUAACACGAGGAAACUUGUGCUAAUACCGGAUAAGUCUUUACGGAGAAAGCUUUAUGCACCAUUGGAUGAGCCUGCACUUGAUUAGUUUGUUGGUGGGGUAAUGGCCUACCAAGACUGUGAUCAAUAGCUGAUUUGAGAGGAUGAUCAGCCACAUUGGGACUGAGACACGGCCCAAACUCCUACGGGAGGCAGCAGUGGGGAAUCUUGCACAAUGGAGGAAACUCUGAUGCAGCGAUGCCGCGUGAGUGAAGAAGGCCCUUGGGUUGUAAAGCUCUUUCGUCGGGGAAGAAAAUGACUGUACCCGAAUAAGAAGGUCCGGCUAACUUCGUGCCAGCAGCCGCGGUAAUACGAAGGGACCUAGCGUAGUUCGGAAUUACUGGGCUUAAAGAGUUCGUAGGUGGUUGAAAAAGUUAGUGGUGAAAUCCCAGAGCUUAACUCUGGAACUGCCAUUAAAACUUUUCAGCUAGAGUAUGAUAGAGGAAAGCAGAAUUUCUAGUGUAGAGGUGAAAUUCGUAGAUAUUAGAAAGAAUACCAAUUGCGAAGGCAGCUUUCUG